rnacentral:lncRNA from 1 species
AAAGAGUUAAGCAUACUCGGUAUUUCAUUUCAUGCAGACCUGACUGCUGCCAAACAGCUUUAAUCAGACUGCCAGAAUGGUCCCAUAGCUGCAAGAACAUCAGCAUCCUGAGCUAUCUCAUGUUUCCAGCACAAAGUCACCACCAGAGAGAGCACUUCCAGGCCUUUUGGUCAGACAGCGUAAAACUUGGAUUCAAGGACUGAGAUGGACUCCUAGAAAACAUCACUUCUUAAAAAAUCUUGAAUUGCUUCAACUCUUCUGAAUCAACAUCACAGCUCUGAGAAAAGUGAAACCCUGUAAAAAUGGAGAAUCAAAUUAUUUUCUGCAAUACAAACUUUUUUCCAAAAGGAGUUACAAGUGAGAAACCUGAGGACAGAAUUGAACGCCAGUAUGAUUCAUCAAACAUCAUGCAAAUCUAUAUGCUUGAAAUUUCACUGCUCAAGCCUGGGUCCUGAUCCUUUGCUAAGUAAAGGAAUCGCUUCCUGUGAGAGCAGCCCGGCUGAAGCACAGGGGACUUGGCAAACGAGACGGUGAGCGCCCGCACGGGGGGCUGGCUGCCAGGCCCAGGGCUCAUGCCGCAAAGCUGCAGCCGCGGCAGCCCCAUCCCUGGGGGAUACCAGCCCCCAGGGAGCUGCUGGCCCCUGCGGCACCCUGGCAAAGAGUUGGGAGAAUUCAGCCAUUUCCAUUUGUGCGUGAUGAAUUUGAGCCUCGAGUGAUUGUUCUUUCUUUAAAAAUACCUGAUCCCUGAAACAUGGGGUUUGUUGCAG